rfam:Oryza glaberrima chromosome 2 Oglab02_0424_9, whole genome shotgun sequence.
AAAAAACACAAACCCUGGUUUCCGUGUCCAACAUUUGACCGUCCGUCUUAUUUGAAAAAAUUAUGAAAAAAAAUUAAAAAGACAAGUCAUACAUAAAAUAUUAAUAAUGUUUUAUCAUCUAACAACAAUGAAAAUACGAAUUAUAAAAAAAUUCAUAUAAGACGGACAGUUAAAGUUGGACAAAAAAACCUAGAGGUUGUCUUUCU